rnacentral:rRNA from 1 species
UGAGUAAUGUCUGGGAAACUGCCUGAUGGAGGGGGAUAACUACUGGAAACGGUAGCUAAUACCGCAUAACGUCGCAAGACCAAAGAGGGGGACCUUCGGGCCUCUUGCCAUCAGAUGUGCCCAGAUGGGAUUAGCUAGUAGGUGGGGUAAUGGCUCACCUAGGCGACGAUCCCUAGCUGGUCUGAGAGGAUGACCAGCCACACUGGAACUGAGACACGGUCCAGACUCCUACGGGAGGCAGCAGUGGGGAAUAUUGCACAAUGGGCGCAAGCCUGAUGCAGCCAUGCCGCGUGUGUGAAGAAGGCCUUCGGGUUGUAAAGCACCUUCAGCGAGGAGGAAGGUGGUGAACUUAAUACGUUCAUCAAUUGACGUUACUCGCAGAAGAAGCACCGGCUAACUCCGUGCCAGCAGCCGCGGUAAUACGGAGGGUGCAAGCGUUAAUCGGAAUUACUGGGCGUAAAGCGCACGCAGGCGGUUUGUUAAGUCAGAUGUGAAAUCCCCGGG